UAUCUUCCUGUAGAGCAACCAUCAUUGCUAAAUGCUGGUCAAUUUCCGGUUGGUUUGCAGAUUCACCCUCUCCCCUUAAAGGAUCAUGCAUUAACUUCAGUUCACUCUCCCAAGGCAAGAUAUACGUAUGACCAUAGUAAAAUCCUAAUGGGAUUUUGGCUCUGGCAUUUGUACUUCCAUAACGUCCAAUGACAGUGAUCUGAAAUGAAAUAAAAAACAAAACAAAUCAAAACAUAAGUAUACAUACACUCCAUCUGCAAAAAAAUAAAAUUCUGAGCAAUGGAUUUAAAAAGAUAGUUAUACUUUUUAACUAUAUGUCUAAGUAUCUUUCAUAACCUGUCAGAAACAUGGAAAGCCUAUCAAUUCACUGUCUUGAAGCCUUUUACCUUCAUGAAUCUGCACACAGGAGGUGGUAUCAAGUCAUGCAGAAUUAGUGAAUGGGUGCUUAUGUCAGUUGCCACUACCAGUCGCCUCCCAUCCACCUCUUCUCCUAAAGUCCAAAUGUCAAUUGACAAGGAGGCCAAGUCUCCACAAGUGGGAAUCAAUACAUCUGUCAAUAGUAUUGGUCUGCCAAAAUCCAAGGUCACAAAUCUCCUUGCUCCUAUCAGAGAGAGCAACAGGUGACAAAAAAUACCAAUGUUUCAAUUAACCAAAAGAUACAUUCAAAAACAGUUGGGAACACUCAUCUUAAAAUCCGAAAUCAACUUAUUAAACUACAAACAAAUAAAUAGAAAGAGGAAGUAGCUUUUGAAAAUUUUCUGAAACUUCAAUCCAUGCUAGGUAAGACUGAAGUAAAAAAUACACAAGAGUAAGUUUGUUACUGUGACAAUCAACUGUGCAUAUAAGCUUAAUUUAAAAUUUUUUAAUGUUUAUUUAUUUUUGAGAGAGACAGACAGAGUGCAAGCGGGGGAGGGGCAGAAAGAGAGGGAGACACAGAAUCUGAAGCAGGUUCCAGGCUACGCGCUGUCAGCACAGAGCCCAAAGCAGGAGGUGAACCCAAAAACCGCAAGAUCAUGACCUCAGCCAAAGUCGGAUGCCUUACCGACUGAGCCACAUACGUGCCCCGAAGCUUAAUUUGAAACAUCAGAGUAGAAAAACUGUAUCAUCAAAAACAGUAGAUAGAUGAACUCUUAAAAGUUAUCUAUCUGCUCUUUUUUCAAUCAUUUGGUCACUUUUUAAAACUUUCCCACCUAGACUCAUUAAUGAUACCAAAUUGUUACUACUUUAGUUUUCUCAAGCCUUGUUUAACUUCUUAUGGAGUUAGAUCCUACAUUGUGGUUACAAUGUAAAGUAAAAGUACAAUGCAGAAAUCACAUGCAGACAGCACCGCCACUAUAAAAAAUCCCUUAGGAAGGUCCUCCAAAGAAGACAAAUACAGCUUAUCUCAAACACUGUUUUUUGCCCAGGUAGUGGCACAUCACUGUCUCUUCAGCUCAGUUCCAGGCAAAGCAUAUGGCUUAUUCUCAAGGACCACACUAAACAGGCAGGAUGCCUCUUCGUGUAAACACUAGAAUCGCAUGCAGCACAGUUGAGAUGUGCACAUUAAUGAAAGGCAAAAAUGAUCACAGGGGAAUGGAAGAAGAACAGAUUUGCAUAUCUCAGCUCAUAUACAUUUCAGAAUAAGCCCAAUUAGUGAAACAGUAGACAGCAUUGUUAAUCAUAUAGUUCUUUUUCUUCUUUACCAGGUUGGGGUGAGGAGCACCUAAUAACCUUACCAGCUACAUGUUACAGUGAAGGAAUCAACUGAACUUCUAGAACUAGUUUUCAAUGGAGCUAGUUUAAAAGCAAACAAGGUAGUUACCAAUACUUCCCUAGACAGAAAAACUAUUAAAUAACAAAGAACAUAAUUCUUCUAUGUCUUACAGUCAAUUCCAAUGAUAAAAAAAGAAAAAAAAAACAAACUGCAGUGUAAAAAACUGCUCACAAUCCAUAAGACUCCACAACAAAUCACACUCUAAAUGUUACAAAUGCUAAUGUUGAUACCAAUGAAGGAUUAGUUGAGCAAAAAACACCAUUAAGAAUUUUACCUUAGGGGCGCCUGGUGGCUCAGCCAGUUAAGUGUUGGACUUUAGCUCAAGUCAUGAUCUCACAGCUGCUGAGUUCGACCCCUGCGUUGGGUUCUGUAUCUCCCUCUCUCUCUGCCCCACCCCAGCUUGUGUUCUCUCUCGCUCUCUCUCUCAAUAACAAAGAAAUAAACUUGAAAAUUACUUAAAAACAAAAAAAAAGAAUUUUACUUUACAUUUUUUAAAAAACUCUCUCUUCCAAAGAAGAAACAUCGCAAUGCAAUAAAGCAAACUAUUCAUAUGAUAGAAAGUGCCACAGUAUGCAUUAUACACACACUACUUUCUACUAUAAAACACACUGUGGGUUUCUACUGAAUUCUGCUGCAGCACAAGCCCAGAACUAGUAGUUGGUAGGAUGAUAAGGUUAAAAUCACCUGUGGUUUAUUAGUAAACAUAUUCUAGUUGAAAGUAUCUAUCCCAGUCAUGGGUUGCUAGCAUGUAAGUAUGUCACAAACUUAGGCAGAAUUUGAAUUAUCAAGAGACCAUGAAGUGUUAUUAAUUUUACUUAGUUACUAAAAUCAGCAGUAUGUCUAUCUGCUAUUUUCUAGAAAUGAUUCCAACAUCAGGAUGCUGGUCUUAAGAAUAUUUAAGAGUAACUUCCAGUGUAAUGAUAAUCGAGCAGCUACAAUGGAGGUAGAUGGUCAUGUCCAUCAGAGUUCAACAGGCAAGACCCAUGUGCAGGUGAAAUCCACAGUCUGGACAGAACUAGUCAACCUACCCAGUAGCACUCUGCCACCCAACGUGGUGAAUGCACAGCUGGAGCCUUAUGUAGUGCCUACUCCUGGUAAAAUGUACUUACUUGGGAACAGAUGUGAUUUACUUGCAAAGGAAAAUCAAACUACAGAAUAUUAAGAUUCAAAGGGCUAGCAGAAUAGGCAACAAAAAUAUCUUAAGAAAGUCAAAGAUUACCUGAAUGCAUUCGUUCUAUAAUAAUGGACUGGUGAGGUGGAGGUUGAAGAAAAUGUGAAGCAUGAGAAAUUGCAAGAGCUAGACCAGAACCAAGUGGAUUCUAGAAGAGAAAAAAGUAUAACUCUAUAUUGAUAUUACUCUUGCUCUAUACAAACUAGUAACUGUAUAUCAAAUUAACGAGUCUCAUCUCCUGAUGUAUAUUCUGUAAUAUUUUAGAAAACAACCUAAUUUGAUGUAUCAAGUUGGCAUAAUAAAAUUUUGCCUUCUCAAGCUAGCGUAUACAUCAUAAUAUUUUUAAAUGUCUAAGCGAACACCUAUUUAAAAUAUAAGAAUUUACCAUUCUGGACUUGUUGGAAUUUUUGUUAUGUGCAGCAAGAUUGACUGUUGGGGGAUCAAUAACUGAGCCUGGGAAAAGCUGUGCAAGUUCGGCAUUAAUCACAACGGAAACUGCUUCAUUGGGUGGGGUGAGUGGUGGAGUCAUAAAAAGUGGUGUUGUUUUUGGAGUGGGUGGAAUAACAUCAGAUGGAUGGAUGAAGAAUCCGGGGGCUGCCACCGGGUUGGAAGGCACAGAGUUGUGAACAGGACCUACUGCUGAUGCUGCUGAUGCUGCGGCAGCCGCUGCAGCUGUUGUCUGAUGUAACUUGGCUUCCAGCUUUGCUUUCUGUAAAAGAAGUAAAGGCAACAAAUGUAGACUGAUCCUGCCUACCUGAACUGUAGGGAACACUACACAGGAAUAUUUUAUGAAGAUAAACAUGACUAACUAGAUCCUAGUUAAAUAAAAAUGAAAUUAAAUAAAAAUGGACUCCACAUGAAUUGAGCAUUUCUUCACUAUACGAACUUCAUUAAAUAUUUGAUGUAAACUUCCUUGUGUUUCGGAAACUUGGACUUCCACAAAGCAAAGGUGGAAAGAAAGAAGAACAAGUGCAUGUAAAUAAGGAAACACAGUUCUACUCAGAACGAAAUAUUAACAGGAGGAGGCGGACUCUCGUGUUGCCUAACCUGAUACAAUUUGUCACCUGGAACCACAUGGGAUGCAUUUAGAGAACAAUAAAAACUCCCAAGCAACUGUCAUUAUUACUAAAUUUUAAUCCACAUGACUGCAAAUCAUCUUUAAAAUAUUUUAGGUUAGUCAAUCUGUAAAAAUAGUAACUGGUAACCAUAACGUUUGACCAAGAGUGUUUAAACAGAGUUACAACGAAUUUUACUAAAAGCCUGCCCCCCCAUAUCAAUUAUAUUCCAUCAGAUAUUUGUCAAACGAAAUUUACUUAUAUAAUUUUUAAACACUUAGAUAUAUCACAAAGACAUUACCUCAAUUUUUGCAGAAAAUGAUUAGCUCAGAUCGGUCAACCUACUUUCCUUUAUGAAAAUAAUGGGCAUUUUUACAGUACUUUUUUCAGCUUUUGAAGUUUAGAGACAGCAUGAACAAAGAGCCAAAGAGUCUCCAACCUGUUGCUGAAGCUUCAAAAGCUGCUGCUGUUUCUCUUGCAGCACCUGCAGCUGUUGCUCGGCUGAAGCCAUUGCAUGAGAGAGAGACUGCAAAGCUACCUGGGCUGCUGAACUCAGGGCUGUCGAAGCUUCCCCAACUGUCCCCGAUGACAGUCCACCUACUGCAGGAGUAACCCCGAAGGAACUCACUGGUGUAAGACAAGGGGGAGAGAACAGGGAUGAGGAAAAGGUUCAUGCAGAAACAUGUUCCAAGUA
rnacentral:lncRNA from 1 species